rnacentral:rRNA from 1 species
ACAUCCAGCGAACUUGGCAGAGAUGCCUUGGUGCCUUUCGGGAACGCUGAGACAGGUGCUGCAUGGCUGUCGUCAGCUCGUGUUGUGAAAUGUUGGGUUAAGUCCCGNAACGAGCGCAACCCUUUAUCCUUUGUUGCCAGCGAUUCGGUCGGGAACUCAAAGGAGACUGCCGGUGAUAAACCGGAGGAAGGUGGGGAUGACGUCAAGUCAUCAUGGCCCUUACGAGUAGGGCUACACACGUGCUACAAUGGCGCAUACAAAGAGAAGCGACCUCGCGAGAGCAAGCGGACCUCAUAAAGUGCGUCGUAGUCCGGAUCGGAGUCUGCAACUCGACUCCGUGAAGUCGGAAUCGCUAGUAAUCGUGGAUCAGAAUGCCACGGUGAAUACGUUCCCGGGCCUUGUACACACCGCCCGUCACACCAUGGGAGUGGGUUGCAAAAGAAGUAGGUAGCUUAACCUUCGGGAGGGCGCUUACCACUUUGUGAUUCAUGACUGGGGUGAAGUCGUAACAAGGUAAGCGUAGCGAG